GAAAAGGUGGCGGAGUGGUUUAACGCAAUGGUUUGCUAAAUCAUCAUUACUUCUUGUAAUCGUGGGUUCGAAUCCCAUCCUUUUC
rnacentral:tRNA from 1 species